UCCGUUUAAGCUACUCUGAUGAGGAAUAGUAUAUAAAGUAGUAGUGUUAUUUUAUGAGAAAGAAACUAAUUUUGAUUUUGAGGUUUUUACCAGUCAUUGGGCUGUACAUAAUAUUUGUCAACACUCCUCGACUAACUAGUUUUCAAUCAAUUUGCAAUUUUUAAUUUUAAUCACCUUUUUCAUUUUGCUGUACAACAUAAUCUGUGGCAAGUGUUUUUGAUGAGUUCCAACAUAACCACUAAAAGUAGAAGAUUAUGAAGAUGAUUGUAAGGCAUCAAGGACAUGUAGUUCCGACUCUUUUUUGUGUCCCGUGUGCUCGAUCAUGGGAGAAAAAAAGUCAUAAAAUGAUUAAUACAGAAUGUUAACACAAAAA